UUACGGCCGUAUCACAUUGAAUCAACGGUUCCCGUACGAUCACCGGAUUUAAGCAACGUUGAGCCUAGUCAGUGCCUAGAUGAGCGACCGCUUGGGAAUACCAGGUGUUGUUAG